GCCACAUUAAAACACCGAUUCCCGUACGGUCAGCGAAGGUAAGCAAUAGCGAGUCUGGCAAGUACUUAGAUGGGUGACGGUUUGGGAAUAUCAGGCGA